rnacentral:rRNA from 1 species
GACGAACGCUGGCGGCGUGCUUAACACAUGCAAGUCGAACGAAGAGCGAUGGAAGCUUGCUUCUAUCAAUCUUAGUGGCGAACGGGUGAGUAACGCGUAAUCAACCUGCCCUUCAGAGGGGGACAACAGUUGGAAACGACUGCUAAUACCGCAUACGAUCUAAUCUCGGCAUCGAGGAUAGAUGAAAGGUGGCCUCUACAUGUAAGCUAUCACUGAAGGAGGGGAUUGCGUCUGAUUAGCUAGUUGGAGGGGUAACGGCCCACCAAGGCGAUGAUCAGUAGCCGGUCUGAGAGGAUGAACGGCCACAUUGGGACUGAGACACGGCCCAGACUCCUACGGGAGGCAGCAGUGGGGAAUCUUCCGCAAUGGACGAAAGUCUGACGGAGCAACGCCGUGUGAGUGAUGACGGCCUUCGGGUUGUAAAGCUCUGUUAAUCGGGACGAAAGGCCUUCUUGCGAAUAGUGAGAAGGAUUGACGGUACCGGAAUAGAAAGCCACGGCUAACUACGUG